rnacentral:tRNA from 1 species
GUGUAGCUCAGUGGUCGAGCUCUUGCCUAUUAGGCAUGAGCAAGGCUCUGGGUUAGAUCCCCAGCAC